CCAGCCCGCUCAGAGAUGUGUAUAAGAGACAGCACUAAAGUCAACGCCCUUGCCAGUAUUAGAAGUGAAAGAGAAAGUAGUUCAUUAGUGUUUAUAUUUUCUUGUUUGAUCACUCAGCGUUUCAGUCAGAAAGUCUUCCUCGAACAGCACCAGAAUGGCCUUUCAGGUCCGCGUCAGGGUUAAUAAAAAUGAAAUUAAAGUAUUAUCCGUGGCGUCAUCAAGUGAAGAAUUUGAGCAGUUCACCAUUGGAGGGCUGAAGGAAAGGGCAUUAAGUUUCUUUCCUUCAGUAAACGAUCCAGACAGACUGAGGGUGAUUUUUGGUCAAAGUGAGCUUGAAGACAGUCAAACAUUUGAAUCGUGCAACAUUGAACAUCUGUCUGUCCUGAUAAUCGUGCUCCAGGUGCCAGGUGGUCGAGAGUCCUGUGAAGAUGUACUGUAGUUGGAGCAAUAUUCCUGUGGAACACACAGCAGCACUUUAUGCAAAUUUACACAACGGUCUCAGGCCUGUGUCCUGUCUCUCUCUUCAAAUGGUCCUGUCAAGAAUGGCUCCCAAAAAGAAUGGAUUCUCAAGACCAGAAAAUACCCCAGGGAGGAGUUUCUCUCAGGUCUCAACACAGUUUGAGAAUGUUGGGUUUAUGAUCUUAUCUUUUUACCCAUAAUGUAGAAAUUUUAAAUAAAUCAUUUGAAGAUGCUUGUAUAGUCUAUACAAAUUUUGCAGUGAAUAUUAACUUAUGUAUAUUACUAAAUCAUUGUUUUACUGAGAAUAGGGGGUAAAAAUUCAGUGUCACAAAUGUCUCAAGAUUAUAAUAAAACAACCUGUUUCAUUAAAGUAUAUGUUAAAUUCAAGUACACCACAAAUGUUCAAAAAAAAAAAAAAAAAGAAAUAAAUUUUUAGGUACGGGGAACUAAAAUAGUUAGAAUAAUAUAUAUUUUGCCUUGUAUAUGCAUAUGUAUAAUAUAUGUAUGAUAUAUUUUCUUUCAACAAAUAAAAGUGGGACAAGGAAAUUGGUGACUGUCAUCUUAACUAUAGAAAUAUUUCAAUAAAAUGUUACUUCCUCAUGGGGCUCUUAUCAAGCCAUAAUGUCCAAUUAUGGUUAUUUCAGCUCUGUUAAGAUAACUGUGUGCUGAUCACAGUUUCUGUUCAUUUUGGGGGGGCAAAAAAAGUAAAUAAAUAUAAAAUAAAGAGAAGCGACAUUAUUAAACAGUUUCCUUUGGUAGAUCAAAUAUGGAAUUAGAAUUACAAGUCACUGUACUAUUCUUUAUGCUAGAUGUUUGAUAGACCCAUAAUACAUCACUUAAAUCAAUUUUAAUCAUAAAACUGCCCUUUGUAUCUUCACUAAAAAAAACUUAUCUCUUAUGUUAUUUAACAGAAGCAUGUCAUCAAGUGAAAAGUGGUUUAAAGUAAGUGUAACAGAAAAAUCAGUAAAGCAAAACACAGUUGCUAAACACAACAUAUUUCUGUAGCUCAAGUUCCAUAAAGCUAAGCAGGGUAAAGCCCUUGAUGGAAACCUCAUUUAAGAAAGCUGAGGUUGCUGCUGGAAGAAGACUUCAUGAGGUGAUUAAAGCCCAAGUCGAAUGACAGACACGCUGUACAUUAAAACUGGUUAGUCCUUAUAAAUAAGCAUUUUCCAGGUAAUGACAUCAUUUUUUUGGAGGGAAAUGAAAAGCACAAAGAUCAAUAUUAUCAAUAGAUUAAGAGAAUAUAUUGAUAUUUUUUUAGUAUUAGUUGUGUCUGUAUAAAUCAGCCUGGACAAGUAGAGUAUGUGAUCAUUUACAAAAAACAAAAACAAAAAAAAGUUCUUAAAUUUGACUAAAACAAAUGACGUGAAUGGAGGGAACUUUUGAACUAAAGUGCCAACUACAAAGGUUAACUGUAUGUACAGUUACACUUUCUACUGAUUGACUAUAAACCUAUAACAAUAAACAUUAUAAAGAUAUUUCAUACAUGAACACUUUUUAUGUUUGCAUAAGUUCAGAAGUGGAUUUAACAAGCUAGAUACUGAUACGAUUAAUGGUGGGGAAGCAAGUUAAACUUGUUUUAAAGACGUUUAAGACUUGUUUUAAAGAGUAUAAUGAACUGUCUAGAACUUGAACAAAACUGAAAGCUAAAGGUUUUUUUUAUAUAUAUAAUCUUGAGACGUCUGAUUUAAAAAACAAACAAACAAACAAACAAAGAGGUUUCAUUAAAGUUGAAAUUCAAAUUGUUGAAUUCAAAUACACCACAUAUAUUCAAGAAGACAUUUUUAAUGUUUGGACUGGAAACUAACAUAUUAAGUCACAUCCAUGAUUAAAACAACUGAUCUGUAUGAGUUAGAGUUGAAGGGUGUGUUCGACUUUGACUGCACCUGGCUGCCGGUGUUUUGACUAUCUGCCAGAUUGGGAUUGCCCAACAUUUUUGCCUAACAAAUUUCUGCCUCCCGUACUGACGCUUGCGCGGUGUUCAGCAACAUGUUUAAUGCUGACAAAGUAGUUUCGAUUCAAUAUAGCUAUGUCAAAUAAAAUUUGAACACUUCAAUCUUACAUGUAGCAUUUAGUUUCGUUCCUGUUUGGUGACACGUGACCUUUAACACGUAACUGAGUGAGGAAAAACCGAGCACUGGGAGUGGACUUUAACAACACUGAAGUUU
rnacentral:lncRNA from 1 species